CCUACGGGUGGCAGCAGUAGGGAAUAUUCGGCAAUGGGGGGAACCCUGACCGAGCAACGCCGCGUGAAGGAAGAAGGAAUUCGUUCUGUAAACUUCUGUUAUAAAGGAAGAAAGACGGAUGGAGGAAAUGACAUACGAGUGACGGUACACUAUGAGAAAGCCACGGCUAACUACGUGCCAGCAGCCGCGGUAAUACGUAGGUGGCAAGUUUUAUCCGGAAAUAUUGGGCGUAAAGAGGGAGCAGGCGGCAGCAAAGGUCUGUGGUGAAAGACUGAAGCUUAACUUCAGUAAGCCAUAGAAACCGGGCAGGUAGAGUGCAGGGGAGGAUCGUGGAAUUCCAUGUGUAGCGGUGAAAGGCGUAGAUAUAUGGAGGAACACCAGUGGCGAGGGCGACGAUCUGGCCUGCAACUGACGCUCAGUCCCGAAAGCGUGGGGAGCAAAUAGGAUUAGAUACCCUUGUAGU
rnacentral:rRNA from 1 species